AUCCUACACGAAAGGAGUUUGUGUAUAGUUCCUCAGAUCAUCUUACAUGAUAGUCGAAGAAGAAAAUCAGAUCCAAACCAGAGAAGUAGAGAUCUGAAAGAGAGCUAGCACCUCAAUGAUCUCAGACAAUUUCGAUCUAUUUUAACUCCGUGUGGAUAUCCAUAGAGAUCAGACGCAUGUGCAUCUUCAUCAGAACAUGAAGAUAUCCUUAGAUUCAUAUC
rnacentral:lncRNA from 1 species